rnacentral:tRNA from 2 species
GGGCGAGUGGCGGAAUUGGUAGACGCGCUGGGUUCAGGGUCCAGUGCUCGUAGGGGCAUGCGGGUUCGAGUCCCGCCUCGCCCACCA